CAAACACCCCCUCAGUUGGGGAAAUUAUUCUAGGAUUUGUCAAUCUUUCCCAACAUCUCUCUCUCUCAUCGACAUGGCUUCUCAAAGAGGUGGAGCACGCGAUCUGUGGGUGGAGAUCGCGUCUCAAGAAGCAGCUGAAGAAGAUUGAGGAGUUGUUUCAAAACCCCAGAUUGCUGUUGUUUAUGGAAGACGAAGAGUGGAGAGUGAAAACCCUAGGGAAGUUCAAAAGUUGUAAAUGUUCUCACUUUACUAUCUCAAUUUCUUGAGAUUUCAAUUUUGGGGAAAAUUUGUGAGUUUUUGGGGUAUUUUUUGUUUUUUUAAGAGAAAGAAGUCGGUCGAGUAGAGAGAAUCGGGCGAGCUUUGCUCCGACUAAGAGGAUUAGCUAGCAGCGCUCUCUUUCCAUCAGAAUGGUAGGUUGGAAAAUACCAUUUCAAUUCUAUCAUUAGCCAAAGCAUGUAUACAGGCUACUUAUCUUUCAGAAUGCUACCAUCCAUUCACCAUGCCUCUCUUGACUACAGAUCUUCCAUAGAAAAAUAUGACACUUUAGGGGAAGCUAUACUCUUCCUUGACUUAUAUGCUUACCCUUUAAUGUUCGAGGGUCCUAAACGAGACAAACAGUUUUCCGAGGACAAAUGUCCUAUGGUUAAUAUAUUUGGUGGACAUUUUGUUGACGAAGAAAUUCUUCAAACGAACUACAAAAGAUGAAAGGAAACUUCGAUCCCUUAAGAAGUGCCUCAAUUUAUAUGACUGCUAAAGAUUCUCUUUCUGAUAGCUUCUUCAGUAGUCUACUGGAUCAUCAUGACAUGGUGUGAAUAGGAUAUUGUUGCGAUUUCAGAUCAUUGUUGUCAGAACUCGACCAAAAAUGAGAAGAAGGAGAAUGUUGAGAAAGGAGAGGGUGCAGCAGAGUCAACAGAAACUAAAGAGGAUGUGGAGCCAGAAAUUACUUUGAGGCCGUUAAACAUGGAAGACAUGAGGCAUGCUAAGAAUCAAGUUUCUGCCAGCUUUGCUACCGAAGGUUCUGUUAUGAGCGAACUAAGGCAAUGGAAUGACUUAUACAGAGAAGGCGGUUCAAGAAAGAAGGAGCAGAUGUCUUACUUCCUUUAAAUCAUACAUGUAUUAAUACACGGACACGCGCGCAUUCGAGAUCAAGACAAAAUGUAAAGACGGUUGGUAGAAGUUGAAGAGAGGACAUGAGAUUGUUGGUUCCUAUCCUAUUUAUUUGUGGAGAUCAACAUGACUGAGGGAGGGAUAGGAAAACAGAAAUAGGCGAAUGUAGUUAAGAUAGUAUGUUGUAUAAUAUUCUUUUGACAUCCCAUAUGUGUAUGAUAGGUGUGCCUAAUGUAUUGUAUUUGUUCUGGUUUCAUUGUUUUAGAUUAUGUAUAUAUAAUAUUGGAUAUUUAGCACCGUUUGAGAUA